CGCCUUGCCAGCCCGCUCAGAACUUAAAGGAAUUGACGGGGCCGGCACAAGCGGUGGAGCAUGUGGUUUAAUUCGAUGAUACGCGAGGAACCUUACCUGGGCUCAAAUGUAUGUUGACGUAUUCUGAAAGGGAUACUUCUUCGGACAAUAUACAAGGUGCUGCAUGGUUGUCGUCAGCUCGUGCCGUGAGGUGUCGGGUUAAGUCCCAUAACGAGCGCAACCCUCAUCAUUAGUUACCAUCAGGUAAGGCUGGGGACUCUAAUGAGACUGCCAUCGUAAGAUGUGAGGAAGGUGGGGAUGACGUCAAAUCAGCACGGCCCUUACGUCCGGGGCGACACACGUGUUACAAUGGGUGGUACAAAGGGCAGCUACCUGGCGACAGGAUGCUAAUCUCGAAAACCGCUCUCAGUUCGGAUCGGAGUCUGCAACUCGACUCCGUGAAGCUGGAUUCGCUAGUAAUCGCGCAUCAGCCACGGCGCGGUGAAUACGUUCCCGGGCCUU
rnacentral:rRNA from 1 species